rnacentral:rRNA from 1 species
UUCCCGUAGGGGUUUUACCACGUGAAAACAUCGGUGUGUUGAUCUUUGAUCUGGUUAUGUGAGUGGUUACUGAAGGUGUUCGUCCUCUGUUGGAAUACCUGUGUUGUCGAACACAUUUCACUUGAGUGAGAUAAGAGAGAGUGGAAUUUCAUGUGGAGGGAUCAAAUCCUAAUAUAUACGAAGGAACACCAACUCCGAAGGCAGCUCUCUGGGUCCCCAAUGAUGUUGGGGUGAAAAAGCAUGGGGAGAAAACAUGAUUAGAUACCCUAGUAGUCUAUGCCAUAAGCGAUUAGUGUUCAUCCUUGUUCUUCCUUCCUACUAGGUAGGAUUAGGAUCAGGGGCCCAGCUAACGUGUGAAACACUCCAUUUGGGGAGUACGGUCGCAAGACUGAAACUCAAAGGAAUUGACGAGGGCCUACACAAGUGGUGGAGCAUGUGGUUUAAUUCAAUACAAUGCAUAGAACCUUACCAGCCCUUGACAUAUGAACAAUUGUGCCUAUCCCUAAUGGGAUGGUGUGAAAAUUCAUACAGGUGUUGCAUGGCUAUCGUCCGCUCAUGUCGUGAGAUGUUUGGUUAAGUCUUAUAAUGAGAAAACCCUUGUUUUUUGUUGCUGAGACAUGCGGAAAUGGAUCAAUGUCAUUGCCCCUUAUCAAUGAAUUAAUAGGGCAAGGUAUGCGCCUCUUUUUUAUUGAUGACACUCCUAUGAAGGAAGGUGCAUGUUGAACUCACAAGAGAUUGCCAAUGAUAUGUUGGAGGAAGGUGGGGAUGAUGUCAAUUCUGCAUGGCCCUUAUGGGUUGGGCCACACACGUGCUACAAUGGAAAUGACAAUGGGAAGCAAGGUCAUAAGGAAGAGUGAAUUGGGAAAGAUUUCUUCAGUUCAAAUUGUUCUCUGCAAAUUGAGAACAUGAAGUUGAAAUCUCUAGUAAUCGCGGAUCAGCAUGCCAUGGUGAAUAUGUACCCGAGCCCUGUACACACCGCCCGUCACACCCUGGGAGUUGAUUUCACCCGAAGCAUUAGACCAAUGAUCACCUUAUCUAUAUAUGUUCCAGUAGUGUAGCCCAAGAAGGUUGGGGUGAUAUUAUUGGGGCAUACCAUGGUGGGGUCUUGGACUGGGGUGAAGUCAUAACAAGGUAGUCAUAGGGAAACUUGUGGCUAGAUAGAAUCCCUU